rnacentral:rRNA from 1 species
UACGUAGGGGGCGAGCGUUGUCCGGAAUUAUUGGGCGUAAAGAGCGUGUAGGCGGUUCGGUAAGUCUGUCGUGAAAUCCUGGGGCUCAACCUCGGGCGUGCGAUGGAUACUGCCGGGCUAGAGGGUGGUAGAGGCGAGUGGAAUUCCCGGUGUAGCGGUGAAAUGCGCAGAUAUCGGGAGGAACACCAGUAGCGAAGGCGGCUCGCUGGGCCACACCUGACGCUGAGACGCGAAAGCUAGGGGAGCAAACGGG